UCCCUCCUAAACACAUUUUAUAAUCGUUUGAGUAUUCCUAUACAUAUAAUAACAUUAAAAUUCUUUAUUUUUUAAUUCUAAUAUAGCACAACACACAGUGGGACAAUAAGGGUGGAAUAUCUAAGUGUCAGAGGUAUAACAUUAUAGCAGGCAAUUUUUCAAAAACAAAUAAUAUUUUUGUAUCUAUAGGGUGACUGGUAAUUAGUGAACGAUAUUUAAACACGUGAUUGUACUCAUGAUUACAAACAACUUUCCCAAAGAAACAUCUUUGUAUACUCAUUAGUCUUACUUUUAUCACAAUAACAAAAAUUCAUUAGCACGCGCGCGUUAAAUUCCGAAAUACCUACCUAGUUACUAGUCUUCCGAUAACGCGGGCGCCUCGCUGCUAACAGCUGAUCUUGUGAAAUAACGCGCUAGCUUAAGCUAGCUUAAUCUGUUUCAUUAUUGUGAUAAAAUUAAAACCAAUGAGUAUACAAAACAAGUGUCUUCGGGAAAGUUGUUUGUAAUCAUGAGUACAAUCACGUGUUUAAAUAUCGUUUACUAAUUACCAGCCACCCUAUAUGUAACUAGCUUCUACCAGCGGCUUUGCCCACGUUCUCGUGGGAUAAAAAGUAGCCUAUGUGUUAUUCCAAACCAUAAUCUACCCCUGUUCCAAAUUUCAUCUCAACCUCUUCAGCCGUUUUGACGUGAUUGAGUAACAAAGAUACACACAAACUUUCGCAUUUAUAAUAUUUAGUAAGAUGUAUGUAAAAGGGAUUUUUGAAAUGAAUUACGAUUAUAAACUUUAAAUGUACUAGUGGUAAGGUAUAUUUUGGGAUGUAAUCUAUUCUUCUAUGUAUAUUUUAUCUAAUAAUGAGAAUAUGGACUCCUAUGUAAAUACAAUGAAAUUAGAAACUGAUUUCUCAAUGUAAAUAUUUAAAUAAAUAAAUGUGAACUCUAUUUCCUAGUGCUUAAAGUUGAAUUUUAAGUGUCUUAUUGGAUUAGCUAUUAAAAAAUUUAAAAUACAUAUUUCAGCAUACGAUCAGUCGUGUAUAAGGUGUUCUAAAAGUAUCUGCCACGGCUUUAAUGGGAGGUAGUGUUGUGUUUGAAGAUUGCAAUAGUGAAGAAAUUUCGUACCCUUUUUUUGAGGGGAAAAUCAUCCAAUGACUUCUCCCGCCUUGGGCGAGGCGAGAGGGAGUGUCAGACUCUUACUGACUAAAAACCACCCCGUCCCUUCUCCUGCUUUUCGAGCCGGAGCCCCGGUAAACCCGCUAGGUAGUUCGCAGCUCCGGAAAUUUCGUACCCCGGACCAGUUAAUUCAAAAUUAACUUAACCUGUACCUAUAAUCUGUAAGUCUUUAAGAAUCAGACUCCCAUUCCCAGAUCAAAAUGUCAGAGAACGACCUUGAUCCGGAGCUGCGGACUACCUAGCGGGUUUACCGGGGCUCCGGCUCGAAAAGCAGGAGUAGGAACGGGGUGGUUUUUAGUCAGUAAGAGUCUGACACUCUCUUUCGCCUCGCCCAGGGCGGGAGAAGAGAUUGGAUGAUUUUCUCCCCUCAAAAAACCGGUUUUAAUGGGAGGUAGUGUUAUGUUUGAAGAUUACAAUAGUGAAGAAAUUUCGUAGCCUGGGCAUGUAUGUGUUGAAAUAUUUAUCUAUCUAUUAUACUUAUGUAAGUAAAACUCACAAUUUUAUUAUAAUAAUAUAUUCAAAUAAAUAUACGACAUAUUAUUUUGUAGUUUUAUUAUAAUAGUAUGCAUCUCCGUGUGAUGGCUUGGUCCCUAUCCCUUCAUAAGGCAAAGGGAAUAUUUUUACCACCAUGUUUACUUCAACGAAAAGUUCAGUGAAUAUUAAAAAAAGUAAAUAUUACAAAAAAGUGAAUAUUACAAAUAUUCCCUUUGCCUUGUAAAGGAUUAUAUUAGUUCUAAUUUUAGAUAGUGUUACAUGCGUUGAAAAAAAGGAUAUGUUGUGUUGAUUAUCAUUUUCGUUCAUAAAAAUUUUUUGCCGGACUGUAGUGUAGUGCAGUGUCGAUGCUGAGUCCCUAGGCAGUUGCCUACUCUGCCUUAAGGUUAAGCCGGCUCCGAUCACUGAGCAGGGCCCAUUUGUUGUGUCACAGUGCACAAUCACAUUAUGGCAUCUCCUCUUUGUACUAGCUUCAUACUGAAUAAUUUUACACAAAAUUAAAACUACAAAUUCAACAAUAACAACAUUAUUUAUUAUUUAAAUCAAUACAGAAAUAACUUAUAAUUACCUUCCCAUAAUUAGGUACUUAAAACAAUAUAUGUACUUAUA